CGUUGAAAAUCGGUUCCCAUGCGAUCAUCGAAGUUAAGCAACGUUGUACCUGGUCUGUAUCUAGAUGGGUGACAGCUUCGGAAUGGCACGUGCUGUAAG